CGCCUGUAAUCCCAGCACUUUGGGAGGCCAAGGCGGGCCGAUCACGGGGUCAGGAGAUCGAGACCAUCCUGGCUAACACGGUGAAACCCCAUCUCUACUAAACAUACAAAAAAAAAAAGUAGCCGGGCGUGGUGGCGGGCGCCUGUAGUCUCAGCACUUUGGAAGGCUGAGGCGGGCGGAUCACGAGGUCAGGAGAUGGAGAACAUCCUGGCUAACAGGUGAAACCCCGUCUCUACUAAAAGUACAAAAACCAAUUAGCCGGGUGCGGUGGCGGGCGCCUGUAGUCCCAGCUACUCCGGAGGCUGAGGCAGGAGAAUGGCGUGAACCCAGGAGAUGGAGCUUGCAGUGAGCCGAGAUCGCGCCAAUGCACUCUAGCCUGGGCGACACAAGGAGACUCCAUCUCAAAACAACAACAACAACAACAACAACAACAACAACAAAAACCAGCUGAGCAGCGCGGGCCUUCUGGCAGCGGGUCCAGCUCCAGGGCGCCCUAGGGCAGCGGCGUGCAGUGUUCGGGUAAUAGGACGCAGACGGCGGGGUCGCCGGGGGCUUCGGGGUGGCCUCGGCCCCAGGCCAUCCAGCCCUGUGGACCGAAUGGAGUCCCGCACGCUGUUGAGGUAGUCGUGGGUUCCCCUGGCCUCGGGCUCGGCGCGGGGUCAGCGCUCCUGCAGGUGGCGCUUGCGGUACGGGCUGGUGAAAGUGGAGACGGACGGCAGGAUGGAUUCACUUGGCGACAUGGCGAGGAGCUGGGAAGACGGACACCGGAACGUGAGGAACACGAGUAGUUCAAGAAAAUGCUGAAGAUGCGCUUGGCUGGGAAGCUAGGAUAGGCUGACGAAGUCAGACUUAGUGUGGGAACCUGGUAAGCAGUGGAUCGAUGUUAGCUGUUUUCACUUAUUGCACUAGUAUAAUCAGUUUGAUGAUACAUACUUCAUUCAGCCCCAGCUGUUACUUAAGACCUGGUUUCACAUUUUAUGUUCUUUUUCCUGUGCAGGCUGGGAAAGGGUUUCUUCUGUCCAUAAAAGCUACUCCAAUGGCUGUGGGAGACUUAAUUCCAAUUCCAGGUGAUACAGCCGUCAGUCUCCCACUAGCUGUAGGAUGGUGUGCUGCAGUUCACAGGUGUGGAUGCUCAAGUGGGCUUUCAAAGAUGUCAUGAGAGGGAGGGGUUAUUGUAUUAGGCACAUUUUCCAAAUAUAGGCAUUUCAUUGUACAAGACCCCAAAUGUGAGAGGGUGUUUGUUUCAGUGUUUUAUAGAGUUCCUAAUAUGCCAUCAUAUAUACAUUCAGUUGUUUUCAAAAUACAGUUUAGUAUUUGGCUACUCACAAAGUAAUAAAACAUUUAAAUCACUUAACCAUACAAUUCUUGGUAACCAAAAGGCUUUUCUUUCUAUUCAGUAGUUUAACAUCCAGCUUUCUUUUUUAGGGCAAAGGAGAUAGAAGUGGAUGAAAUGACAGAGUAUUUUUUUAAUUGUACUCUGAUUAAUGCCAAAAGUGUUCAAUCACUAUGUGUGGGGAAGUUUCCUGGUACAAAGGAAAAAAAAACAGGUUGUUCAUACACUUGGCUGUGUUAGUAAGUGGUAAACAGAAUUAAACUUUUCUUAUGUGAACUCACACAUAUGUGCUUCAUGUCACUCCUAUUUAACAUCUCUUUCACACACACAGUCAUCCCCCCCACACAUACCCUUUUGCUAGUCUUCUUCCAUUUUGCUUAUUAACCCAAAGAAAGAAAAAAUAUGGAAGCCUUCUUGCAUAAGUUGCGUUAAUCAGAUGAAUUAUUGAAGCCACUCUGUCUAAAUAUUAUUUUCCCUUAUUUUUCCUUCAUUAGUUUCCCAUUCUGUUGUAUUUAUUUAAUUUUUAUUUCAUUUUCCAGACCUAAGUCAAUGUUAGUCUACCACUGUACGUCUGGUAACCUCAAUCCCUGCAACCGGAGCAAAAUGUGAUUCCAGGUCUUGGCAACCUUUGAAAUUCCAAUUCCAUUUGCAAGAGCUUUGAGGAGGCCAUAUGCUGAUUUCACCACAAGCAACUUCACAACCCAGUACUGGAAUGCCAUCAGCCAGCAGGCCCCUGCCAUUAUCUGUGACUUCUAUCUGUGGCUCAUUGGAAGGAAACCCAGUUUUUCACAAAAUCUGAGGAGCUGAUACGGAAAGCACACCAGAUCUCAUGUGUUGAAAUGUGAACAUGCUCACCACAGACCAAGGACAUUCAACCUGUCAAUCCCCAGGAUUUCCAAGCCAGGAGUUUCAUCUCUUACUUGUGGAAAAUUUGUCCAUUUAAUUGUGAACCAAUCAGCUUUUCAUUGUGUCAAAAUCAAAUCUGGAUAGUGAAAUAUAUAUUUUAUCUUUAUUGUUAUCUUAAAUAUAUCUUGGCUUAAAGAGACAUAAGUAGCUCUUCCCCACUACACCAGAUAAUGAGUUGCAAAUAAAUCAUUCAGUAGUAAAGUUCAAAGAAAGCUUGAAAGCAUUUUGAAUUUCCUAGUGUCUUACAGAUUUGUUUCUUUUUACAACAACCAUGUCCCAUGUAUAUCUGUUUAGGACCUUAAGUUGUUAAUAAUCUACUCUGAAUAAUUCCUUAAGAAAACAUUAAAAGGACAAUGUCUAUACCUGGGAAAUAAAACCCAAAGUAGUAGAAAUUAUAUUAAAAAUCAUGUAGUUAAUUACAAAUGAGUGUGAGCUUAGACACUGAAAAAUGUGUCACUGAAAAAAUACCAAAAAUGGUCAGCCUUUUCCUGUUAAGUUACAGAAAGGUAUAUAAUAUAAGUACUUAGUACAUAAGAGAAGAGUUAGAAUGAGAUUGUACCAGGUUCAGAAUUCCUCAUCCGAGAAGACCAGACAAAAUUCAAGGUUUUUAGAGAGGGACUACCCUGAAUGAUGUCACCAGUAAGUGAGUUUAUAAACAAAGACAGAGCUUGGCAAGUUGCACUGGAUACUUCAAACCAGUUUCUCUGGAAAAAUUUGAGUUACUCAAUAAACCCUCAGUUUUCCUGAGGUAAAUCAACUUUGAAAUACAGUGGAGAACUCUGGGUGAUAAAUCACGCCGUGCUACACACUAGGACUGCAGUUCACAGAACGUGAUUAGAUUUAAGGCAAUAGAAGAUAGGAACAUUUUUUGAACUAGUUUAUUGAAUCCUUUUGAGAAUAUCACUGUUUGGCAGUUCCUAGAAAGCUUAGACAAAUUAAUCUUCAAGAGGCAAACAAAUUAACUUUGAACUAAAAAACAAAAACACAACCAAAAACUUUGAAUUAGAAAACAUCUGCUAAGAAAAGCC
rnacentral:lncRNA from 1 species